GCACUGGCAGGGGCUGCCCAGGGAGGUGUUGGAGUCUCCAUCCCUGGAGGUUUUUAAGGAAGGACUGGACGUGGCACUCGGUGCUCUGGGCUGGGGGACAACGUGGGGAUUGGUCACAGGGUGGACUUGACGGUCUUGGAGGUCUUUCCCAACCUGAAAGAUUGUUGAUUCUUAGGGCUGUUUGCCCAUUAAUGACUCUCUUUUGCCCCCUCAAAAACAGUUCUUUGUGACCUCGCUGCCC